UGUGCUCCCUAGGGCUGCCAUAACAAAGACCACAACUGGUGAAGUCACCAAAACAACAGACCUUACUCUCUGACAGCCCCGGAGUCUACAAGUCUGAAAUCAAGUAAUGCUACUGGGCACCAUUGUCCUCCCUUGAUGACCACAAUUGAUUCACCCAUUCUAUGGUCUCAAAGCAAGGAACGCGGUGAUUGCAAGCACGUGUGAUGUGGCUGCUCUUUUACCUGAUGAGAGGGCCUGAGAGAACAAAGACCUGAGGAGGUGCCAGGUGAAGGGAUCAGUACAGACCACCCUAAAUAUGCCACUUUGGCGUACGGGUUAUUCUGAGCCGAAAGCGAUCGAGAAUCAGUGGAUGCAGGGGGAGUUCUCUUCUCUCCCCUUUUCUGCCUAAAGUUGGCACAGAUCUCCCCCAGUGAAGGCAUCCCCCCUCUCGCAUACCAGGAAGAGGAAAGCAACUUACCACCGGAGAGGAAGAGCUGGAAUAGAAAUAAAUCCGCAUAAGUAAACCUCACUCGAAUACCCUGUACCUUCCAAAAGUUCCCCUGUGUGUAUAUUUCCCAGUCACUUUCUCACAAUUUUUCAUCUCUUGGAGCCCAGACCCCCUUUCUGUAGCUAAAAUGGUAUGUAAGCCCCUGAGUCUCAUCACUUGAUUUUGAGUUUCUUUUUUGUGAA